rnacentral:ncRNA from 1 species
CUGGACAUGAACAGGACUGACAGAUUAAUAGCUCUUUCUUGAUUCUGUGGGUUCUGGUACAUAGCUGUUCUUAGUGGGUGAAACUAUUUGUCUGAUUAAUUCUGAAAAUGAAUAAGACCCUGGAAUGCUAACUAGUUACACAACCCUCAAGCAAUUGAGGGUCCCCCAACUUCUUAAAGGGACAAGUGGCAUUCAUCCACCUGAGACUGAGCACCAACAGAUCCAUGACAGCCUUGGAAG